AAUGGUACCGGUUCCCGUAUGAUCACCGAAGUUAUGCAACGUUGAGUUAGGUCAGUGCCUAAAUGGGUGACCGCUUGGGCAUACCAGGUGCUGUCAGC